rfam:Hordeum vulgare subsp. vulgare, WGS project CAJW01000000 data, contig: morex_contig_51297
UACAUACUCCCUCCGUCCCAAAAUUCUUGUCUUACAUAUGUCUACAAAUGGAUGUAUCUAAAUACUAAAAUGUGACUAGAUACAUUGAUAUCUACACAAAUGUAAGACAAAAAUUUUGGGAUGGAGGGAGUACAUG